AGAGUUUGAUCCUGGCUCAGGAUGAACGCUGGCGGCGUGCUUAACACAUGCAAGUCGAACGAAGCACUUUAUUUGAUUUCCUUCGGGACUGAUUAUUUUGUGACUGAGUGGCGGACGGGUGAGUAACGCGUGGGUAACCUGCCUUGUACAGGGAGAUAACAGUUGGAAACGGCUGCUAAUACCGCAUAAGCGCACAGCAUCGCAUGAUGCAGUGUGAAAAACUCCGGUGGUAUAAGAUGGACCCGCGUUGGAUUAGCUAGUUGGUGAGGUAACGGCCCACCAAGGCGACGAUCCAUAGCCGACCUGAGGGGGUGACCGGCCGCAUUGGGACUGAGACACGGCCCAAACUCCUACGGGAGGCAGCAGUGGGGAAUAUUGCACAAUGGGCGAAAGCCUGAUGCAGCGACGCCGCGUGAGCGAAGAAGUAUUUCGGUAUGUAAAGCUCUAUCAGCAGGGAAGAUAAUGACGGUACCUGACUAAGAAGCACCGGCUAAAUACGUGCCAGCAGCCGCGGUAAUACGUAUGGUGCAAGCGUUAUCCGGAUUUACUGGGUGUAAAGGGAGCGCAGGCGGUGCGGCAAGUCUGAUGUGAAAGCCCGGGGCUCAACCCCGGUACUGCAUUGGAAACUGUCGUACUAGAGUGUCGGAGGGGUAAGCGGAAUUCCUAGUGUAGCGGUGAAAUGCGUAGAUAUUAGGAGGAACACCAGUGGCAAAGGCGGCUUGCUGGACGACAACUGACGCUGAGGCGCGAAAGCGUGGGGAGCAAACAGGAUUAGAUACCCUGGUAGUCCACGCUGUAAACGAUGAAUACUAGGUGUGGGGGGACUGACCCCCUCCGUGCCGCAGUUAACACAAUAAGUAUUCCACCUGGGGAGUACGACCGCAAGGUUGAAACUCGAAGGAAUUGACGGGGGCCCGCACAAGCAGUGGAUUAUGUGGUUUAAUUCGACGCAACGCGAAGAACCUUACCAAGACUUGACAUCCAACUAACGAAGUAGAGAUACAUCAGGUGCCCUUCGGGGAAAGUUGAGACAGGUGGUGCAUGGUUGUCGUCAGCUCGUGUCGUGAGAUGUUGGGUUAAGUCCCGCAACGAGCGCAACCCCUAUUGUUAGUUGCUACGAAAGAGCACUCUAGCGAGACUGCCGUUGACAAAACGGAGGAAGGCGGGGACGACGUCAAAUCAUCAUGCCCCUUAUGUCCUGGGCUACACACGUAAUACAAUGGUGGCCAACAGAGGGAAGCGAAGCCGUGAGGCGGAGCAAAUCCCUAAAAGCCAUCUCAGUUCGGAUUGCAGGCUGCAACUCGCCUGCAUGAAGCUGGAAUUGCUAGUAAUCGCGGAUCAGCAUGCCGCGGUGAAUACGUUCCCGGGCCUUGUACACACCGCCCGUCACACCAUGAGAGUCGGGAACACCCGAAGUCCGUAGUCUAACCGCAAGGGGGGCGCGGCCGAAGGUGGGUCCGGUAAUUGGGGUGAAGUCGUAACAAGGUA
rnacentral:rRNA from 1 species